GUUAUAUAUAAAUUCUUUGAAAAACAGGGUAAUUGUAAUAAAACUGCUGUUGCUAAAUGGAAAUAAAACAAAAAAUGACAUUAUAAAGUUGAUUUUGUUUAUGUCAUAACGAAUGCAUUUAUGUGUUUAUUUAAACUGAGGAUCUAAAUGGUACAUGGGACAUGUAAUACCACGUAGCAAGUUAUUGUUAGGGCAGGGAGGAGGACAGUACACUUGUUAUCAGGUAUCAUAUAUAUACAUGCUGUGCUCAUCUCCCUCAUUAAUUCCAGAGCAACACUACAGACUAAGAAGUUUGAUAAAGACACAAAGAUGGGAUCCCGCACGUUGGUUCUGAUCAUGUUUUUAGGUGCCCUCUGUGUUGCCCAGGCACUGAGGUGCAACUACUGCCAGAAGAUUGACAAAGACCAUCCCACCUGUAAUGAGAUAGAGGAGAAAGAAUGCAGCAGUGGUUUUGACAAUUGCAUUACAAUCAAAAUGCAUCAUCCAGCCUGUGAGUUGACCAUAUUCUUUUCCUCAUAUGUCUGUAAUGAGAUAGAGGAGAAAGAAUGCAGCAGUGGUUUUGACAACUGCAUUACAAUCAAAAUGCAUCAUCCAGCCUACGGUGAGGUGCGCAGAUGUGCCAAAACUAAUGAGUGUGAUGCUCAGGUGCCUCCUCAGGUGGAGAAAGUGUGCUGCAACACAGAUCUCUGCAACUGAUCUGCUCCAUCAGCCAAAUAUAUUUUACAAUGAUCUGUUUUUAUCUCAUGCUACAUAAAAUGUUCAAAACAUACAGCUAUCAUAGUUAUUAAUUGACUUUAAUUUAAUAUAUGUAAAUGCAAGUAGCGAAUAAUAUAAAGAAAUAAACUCUGGCCAGCAAAACAAAAAACAAUGAUGAUUCUUUGUGUUUUCCAAAACAUUUUAUCUUCUUGUACAUUGUCAGAGGUUUGACAAGGACAACAGCUGAACUCUACAACAAAACAGCUCAGUCAGCAUUCACACAAAAAUGACUUCUCAGCCAGACCAAACACAAAAAUGCAAACACAGAAACACCAC
rnacentral:lncRNA from 1 species